rnacentral:rRNA from 1 species
CGGCGUGGAUGAGGCAUGCAAGUCGAACGGUGUCAUUGGGUAACUGAUGGCAACAGUGGCGGAAGGGUUAGUAAUACAUGAAUAACCUGCCUUUUACCUGGGGAUAACGGCUGGAAACGGCCGCUAAUACCGAAUGAGGUGGUGGGAAGCAGUUCCUGCUCAUCAAAGUAGGGGACCUCGAGAGGGGCCUUGCGGUAUAAGAGGGGUUCAUGGGAUAUCAGCUAGUUGGUGUGGUAAAGGCGCACCAAGGCUAAGACGUCUAGGCGGAUUGAGAGAUUGACCGCCAACACUGGGAC